AAGGUAUGUCAAAGGUCAUGGUUAAGUGACUUUGUAAGGCUGGUAUUUUUUCUUUAGUUUUAUGGCAAUCAGUGCACAUGGUAAAUAGCAUAAAAUUACCCUUAAAGGUCUUAUGCAAGGAGAUAGCUAAUUAAAAUGAACAAAUGUAGUUCUAUGUAUGAUGUAUAUAGAGACAAUAAUAUUUCUUUUCUUUUUUCAUUUUCAGGAACUUUACGUAGGUCUACAGUUUUAAUUUUGGACUCAUGCACUAGGAAUAUCAUAUCAGCAGAAUUGUGCCACUGAAUCAAAGGGAACUCUUUUUUUUUAGGUACGCAUGAUCGAUGUAACUUCCUCGAUGGUGUGUUGGCUGUUUGCCCAUGUGUAUUUCGGGGUAUAGGAGUAGCCUCCCCUUUUAAAGAUCAAAAAUGGUGAUUUUACAGUGCGGCAUGCAGUCUGGUCUUCAACGAAGAGUUUUGACACCUGUAAUACCCAUAUUUCUACCAUUCACCUCUGUAACCUUUGUUGAGUUCAUCAGACUGUCACUAGGCAACACUAAAGAUUUCCACUUAUUGCUUUUCUGUCCAAGACAGGAAGUUGAGGAACAAAGUUGACAGGACAUCCUGAACUGUCUUCGCUACCAGCUUAUGAGGGAACCAGCUGCAGUGGACAAAGUAUGUUACAUCAUAGGAUAAUAGCAUUGAAUUGGAUUCUUGAACCAGAGCCAUGUGAACCUGGUCCACCUGUACCUCUCAUUGAAGACCUGUUAACAUCACCAGAGUAUGUUCAUUCUGAUACCCCUAUGGUAUGGUUACAGCAUGCAUUAUCCCUGAAUCCAUUAAAAGAGCUGCAUUGGCAAUGAAACAACCCAUUGUGGUCGAUUGUAA